rnacentral:tRNA from 1 species
GGGGCAGUGGCGGAACCGGUAGACGCAUGGGACUUAAAAUCCCAGGCCUAGUGCGUGCGGGUUCGAGUCCCGCCUGCCCCA